ensembl:lncRNA
UGUCAUUUCACGGGGAGAAAACUGGAAGUCCCUGCACAAAAGGAAGGAGCGCUCACACAGGGAGUGGAAAUUUGCACUGGGAACGGUGCUCCAGCCCUCCGAUAGUCUUUGUGGCCUCCUCUGGACCCUCUCCACCAGCUCUGCAUCCUCCUUGUGCUGGAGGCCCCAGGCCUGGAUGCAGUACUCAAGACUACAUCUUGGGGAUCUGGCAGCUUCCCAAGGGAGGGUCAGGGUCUGGUGCAGGACAGGAGGAGGGGGAGGGGAGGAAGACUCUGCCUUGCACUGGGGAGAGCGGGAGGCAGAUCUACCACAGGAUCGAAUGCUGUGUGAGCUUGGAUGCUCAGGCCCUGAUCUUUCAUUAACGUGCACACCAGGGUCAGUACUAGACAGAAGGUCUGAGAAGGUCUCCUCAUUCCUCACUCUGUACUCCUGCCUGCCCUGCACCCUCAGAGCAAGCGCCAAGGUAGGAGAGGGCAAGCAGCAGUGAGGUAGGUACUUAACCAGUCUCACUCCCAUGGGGAAGACAGGCUUGGGAGAGCUGGAGGUCUGCUCUGCUGAGCUCCUCAAUGCCGUGUGGGGUUGGUGGCUUUGUCAGCUUGGCAGUGGGGGUGUGAUGAGGGGCAGAUUUCUACACUUUUGCAGACAAAGAGAAGUACAACCUUUGGUGCCGCUGGAAAGUCACACUCAGUAGGGGCCUUAGCAUCCUGGAGCAUGAAGACCGAAGACAUUCUGCUAUUAACUCCAGAGAAAACUGUAGAGAGGGGAGUAAAAUGCAGCCCCGAGGCAAAAG